GCUUUAGACCCUUCACUUUCCCUUUGCUCUAUGUUGUCAUUUAAUAACUUCCCUGUUUUUCAAAUCAUAUGAGAGUCUGUAGCCUUUUUGAUAGCAAUCCUGUACCCACAUAAAAGCUGCAUUUUCAAUAGGAAAUAAAAAUGUAUUUCACAAAAAGAUUUUUGUGCCCGCUAGCGUAGCUGCAGCAAUGGCUUCACAAAUUUCCUUUUCUUUUUAACAAUGGUCCUGAUGCUGGAUUCAUUUAUCUUGAAAUGGUGGGCAACUACAGAUGCAGACCUCAGUCUAUGGUACACAUCAAGCAAUUCAUAUUUUUCUUGUAAUGUCAUGACUUUUCUCUGCUUCUUGGAAGAAAUUCCAACAUCACUAGUAGCACUUUAUAUGGUUCCUACCUAUGGUGUUAUUCAAGGUUUACAAUAUUGCACUAAAGACGAAGAACAUGCGAUAACCAUAAGAGAUCACUUGCAGGUUUGUUACGUAGGUAUACACGUUCCAUGACGGUUUGCUGCCGCCAUCAACUUGUCGUCUACAUUAGGUAUUCCUCCUAAUACUAUCCCUCCCCUAGGCCCCCACCCCCCAACAGGCCCCAGUGUGUGAUGUUCCCCUCCCUGUGUCCAUGUGUUCUCAUUGUUCAACUCCCACUUAGGAGUGAGAACAUGUGAUGUUUGGUUUUCUGUUCCUGUGUUAGUUUGCUGAGAAUGAUGGUUUCCUGCUUCAUCCCUGUCCCUGCAAAGGACAUGAACUCAUCCUUUUUUAUGGCUACAUAGUAUUCCAUGGUGUACAUAUGCCACAUUUUCUUUAUCUAGUCUAUCACUGAUGGGCAUUUGGGUUGGUUCCAAGUCUUUGCUAUUGUGAGCAGUGCUGCAGUAAACAUACAUGUGUCUUUAUAGUAGAAUGAUUUAUAAUCCUUUGGAUAUAUACCCAGUAAUGGGAUUGCUGGGUUAAAUGGUAUUUCUAGUUCUAGAUCCUUGAGGAAUUGCCACACUGUCUUCCACAAUGGUUGAACUAAUUUACAAUCCCACCAACAGUGAAAAGUGUUCCUGUUUCUCCACAUCCCCUCCAGCAUCUGUUGUUUCCUGACUUUUUAAUGAUCGCCAUUCUAACUGGUAACUCAUUGUGGUUUUGAUUUGCAUUUCUCUAAUAACCAGUGAUGAUGAGCUUUUUUCAUGUUUGUUGGCCGCAUAAAUGUCUUCUUUUGAGAAGUGUCUGUUCGUAUCCUUCGCCCACUUUUUGAUGGGGUUGUUUUUUUCUCGUAAAUUUGUUUAAGUUCUUUGUAGAUUAUGGAUAUUAGCUCUUUGUCAGAUGGAUACAUUGCAAAAACUUUCUCCCAUUCUAUAGGUUGCUGGUUCACUCUGAUGAUAGUUUAUUUUGCUGUGCAGAAGCUCUUUAGUUUAAUUAGAUCCCAUUUGUCUAUUUUAGCUUUUGUUGACAUUGCUUUUGGUGUUUAGUCAUGAAGUCUCUGCCAAUGUCUGUGUCCUAAAUGGUAUUGCCUAGGUUUUCUUCUAGGGUUUUUAUGGUUUUAGAUCUUACAUUUAAGUCUUUAAUCCAUCGUGAGUUAAUUUUUGUAUAAGGUGUAAGAAAGGGGUCCAGUUUCAGUUUUCUGCAUAUGGCUAGCCAGUUUACCCAACACCAUUUAUUAAAUAGGGAAUCUUUUCUCCAUUGCUUGUUUUUGUCAAGUUUUUCAAAGAUCAGAUGGUUGUAGAUGUGUGGUAUUAUUUCUGAGGCCUCUGUUCUGUUCUGUUGGCCUGUAUAUCUCUUUUGGUGCCAGUACUGUGCUGUUUUGGUUACUAUAGCCUUGUAGUAUAGUUUGAAGUCAGGUAGCGUGAUUCCUCCAGCUUUGUUCUUUUUGCUUAGGAUUGUCUUGGCUAUAUGGGCUCUUUUUGGGUUUCAUAUGAAAUUUAAAGUAGUUUUUUCUAAUUCUGUGAAGAAAGUCAAUGGUAGCUUGAUGGGGAUAGCAUUGAAUCUAUAAAUUACUUUAGGCAGUAUGGCCAUUUUCACGAUAUUGAUUCUUCCUAUCCAUGAGCAUGGAAUGUUUUUCCAUUUGUUUGUGUCCUCUCUGAUUUCUUUGAGCAAGUUCUCCUUGAAGAGGUCCUUCACAUCCCUAGUAAGUUGGAUUCCUAGGUAUUUUAUUAUCUUUGUAGCAAUUGUGAAUGGUAGUUCACUCAUGAUUUGGCUCUCUGUUAUUGGUAUAUAGGAAUGCUUGUGAUUUUUUGCACAUUGAUUUUGUAUCCUGAGACUUUUGCUGAAAUUGCUUAUCAGCUUAAGGAGUUUUUGGGCUAAGAUGAUGGGGUUUUCUAAAUAUCAUGUCAUCUGCAAACAGGGACAAUUUGACUUCCUCUCUUCCUAUUUUUAUACCCUUUAUUUCUUUCUCUUGCCUGCUUGCCCUGACCAGAACUUCCAAUACUAUGUUGAAUAGGAGUGGUGAGAGAGGGCAUCCUUGUUUUGUGCUGGUUUUCAAAGGGAAUGCUUCCAGCUUUUGCCCGUUCAGUAUGAUAUUGGCUGUGGGUUUGUCAUAAAAAGCUCCUAUUGUUUUGAAAUAUGUUCCAUCAGUACCUAGUUUAUUGAGAGUUUUUAGCAUGAAGGGGUGUUGAAUUUUAUCAAAGGCCUUUUCUGUAUCUAUUGAAAUAAUCAUGUGCUUUUUGUCAUUGGUUCUGUUUAUGUGAUGGAUUAUGUUUAUUGAUUUGUGUAUGUUGAACCAGCCUUGCAUCCCAGGGAUGAAGCUGACUUGAUUGUGGUGGAUAAGCUUUUUGAUGUGCUGCUGGAUUCAGUUUGCUGGUAUUUUAUUGAGGAUUUUUGCAUUGAUGUUCAUCAGGGAUAUUGGCUUGAAAUUUUCUUUUUUUGUUGUGUCUUUGCCAGGUUUUGGUAUCACGAUGAUGCUGGUGUCAUAAAAUGAAUUAGGGAGGAGUCCCUCUUUUUCUAUUGUUGGGAAUAGUUUCAGAAGGAAUGGUACCAGCUCCUUUUUGUAUCUCUGAUAGAAUUCUGCUGUGAAUCCUUCAGGUCCUGGGCUUUUUUUGGUUAGUAGUCUAUUAGUUACUGCCUCAAUUUCAGAACUUGUUAUUGGUCUAUUCAGGGAUUCAACGUUUUCCUGGUUUAAUCUUGGGAGAGUGUAUGUGUCCAGGAAUUUAUCCAUUUCUUCUAGAUUUUCUAGAGGUGUUUAUAGUUAUUUGUAUAGAGUUGUUUAUAGUAUUCUCUGAUGGUGGUUUGUAUUUCUGUGGGAUCAGUGAUGAUAUCCCCUUUAUCAUUUUUUAUUGUGUCUGUUUGAUUCUUCUCUCUUUUCUUCUUUAUUAAUUGGGCUUGUGGUCUAUCUAUUUUGUUAAUCUUCUCAAAAAACCAGCUCCUGGAUUCGUGGAUUUUUUGAAGGGUUUUUUGUGUCUCUAUCUCCUUCAGUUCUGCUCUGAUCUUAGUUAUUUCUUGUCUUCUGCUAGCUUUUGAAUUUGCUUGCUCUCGCUUCUCUGGUUCUUUUAAUUGUGAUGUUAGAGUAUCGAUUUUAGAUCUUUCCCGCUUUCUCCUGUGGGCAUUUAGUGCUAUAAAUUUCCCUCUAAACACUGCUUUAGCUGUGUCCCAGAGAUUCUGGUAUGUUGUGUCUUUGUUCUCAUUGGUUUCAAAUAAUUUAUUUAUUUCUGCCUAAACUUCGUUAUUUACCCAGUAGUCAUUCAGGAGCAGGUUGUUCAGUUUCCACAUAGUUGUGCAUUUUUUAGUGAAUUUCUUAAUCCUGAGUUUUAAUUUGAUUGCACUGUGGUCUGAGAGACCAUUUGUUAUGAUUUCCGUUCUUUUGCAUUUAGCUGAGGAGUGUUUUACUUCAAUUAUGUGGUCAAUUUUAGAAAAAGUGUGAUGUGGUGCUGAGAAGAAUGUAUAUUCUGUUGAUUUGGAGUGGAGAGUUCUGUAGAUGUCUAUUAAGCACACUUGGUCCAGAGCUGAGUUCAAGUCCUGAAUAGCCUUGUUAAUUUUCUGUCUUGUUGAUCUAUCUAAUACUGACAGUGGGGUGUUAAAGUCUCCCACUAUUAUUGUGUGGGAGUCUAAGUCUCUUUGUAGGUCUCUAAGAACUUGCUUUGUGAAUCUGUGUGCUCCUGUAUUGGGUGCAUAUAUAUUUAGGAUAGUUAGCUCUUCUUGUUGGGUUGAUCCCUUUACCAUUAUGUAAUGCCCUUCUUUGUCUUUUUUGAUCUUUGUUGGUUUAAAGUCUGUUUUAUCGGAGACCAGGAUUGCAACCCCUGCUUUUUUUUUGCUUUCCAUUUGCUUGGUAAAUAUUCCUCCAUCCCUUUAUUUUGAGCCUAUGUGUGUCUUUGCACAUGAGAUGGGUCUCCUGAAUACAGCACACUGAUGGGUCUUGACUCUUUAUCCAGUUUGACUGAUGGAUCUUGACUCUUUAUCCUGUGUCUUUUAAUUGGGGCAUUUAGUCCAUUUACAUUUAAGGUUAAUAUUGUUAUGUGCGAAUUUGAUCCUGUCAUUAUGAUGGUUAUUUUUCCCAUUAAUUGAUGCAGUUUCUUCAUAGUGUUGAUGGUCCUUACAAUUUGGUAUGUUUUUGCAGUGGCUAGUGCCAGUUUUUCCUUUCCAUAUUUAGUGCUGCCUUCAGGAGCUCUUGUAAGGCAGGCCUGGUGGUGACAAAAUCUCUCAGCAUUUGCUUGUCUGUAAAGGAUUUUAUUUCUCGUUCGCUUAUGAAGCUUAGUUUGGCUGGAUAUGAAAUUCUGGGUUGAAAAUUCUUCUUUUUAAGAAUGUUGAAUAUUGGCCCCCACUCUCUUCUGGCUUGUAGGGUUUCUUCAGAGAGAUCCACUGUUAGUCUGAUGGGCUUCCCUUUUUGGGUAAUUCAACCUUUCUCUCUGGCUGCCCUUAACAUUUUUUCCUUCAUUUCAACCUUGGUGAAUCUGAUGAUUAUGUGUCUUGGGGUUGCUCUUCUCGAGGAAUAUCUUCAUGGUGUUCUCUGUAUUUCCUGAAUUUGAAUGUUGGCCUGUCUUGCUAGGUUGGGGAAGUUCUCGUGGAUAAUAUCCUGAAGAGUGUUUUCCAACUUGGUUCCAUUCUCCCUGUCACUUUCAGGUACACCAAUCAAACGUAGGCUAGGUCUUUUCACAUAGUCUCAUAUUUCUUGGACGCUUUGUUCCUUUUCAUUCUUUUUUCUCUAAUCUGUCUUCACGCUUUAUUUCAUUAAGUUGAUCUUCAAUCUCUGAUAUCCUUUCUCCCACUUGAUCGAUUAGGCCAUUGAUACUUGUGUAUGCUUCACGAAGUUCUUGGGCUGUGUUUUUCAGCUCCAUCAGGUCAUUUAUGUUCUUCUCUCAACUGGUUAUUCUAGUUAGCAAUUUCUCUAAUCUUUUUUCAAGGUUCUUAGCUUCCUUGCAUUGGGUUAGAACAUGCUCCUUUAGCUCGGAGGAAUUUGUUAUUAUCUGCCUUCUGAAGCCUACUUCUGUCAAUUCGUCAAACUUAUUCUCUGUCCAGUUUUGUUUCCUUGCUGGUGAGGAGUUGUGAUCCUUUGGAGGAGAAGAGGUGUUCUGGUUUUUGGAAUUUUCAGCCUUUUUGCGCUGGGUUUUCCUCAUCUUCCUGGAUUUACCUACCUUUGCUCUUUUAUGUUGGUAACCUUUGGGUGGGGUUUCUGUGUGGACGUCCUUUUUGUUGAUGUAGAUGCUAUUCCUUUCUGUUAGUUUUCCUUCUCUAACAGGCCCCUCUGCUGCAGGUCUGCUGGAGUUUGCUGGAGGUCCACUCCAGACCCUGUUUACCUGGGUAUCACCAGCAGAGGCUGCAGAACAGCAAAAAUUGCUGCCUGUUCCUUCCUCUGGAAGCUUCCUCCCAGAGGGUCACCCGCUAGAUGCCAGCUGGAGAUCUCCUGUGUGAGGUUUCUGUCAACCUCUGCUGGGAGGUGUCUCCCAGUCAGUAGGCAUAGGGGUCAAGGACCCACUUGAGGAGGCAGUCUGUCCCUUAGCAGAGCUUGAGCACUGUGCUGGGAGAUCUGCUCUCUUCAGAGCUGGCAGGCAGGAAUGUUUAAGUCUGCUGAAGCUGCGCCCACAGCCACCCGAUCCCCCAGGUGUUCUGUCCCAGGGAGAUAGGACUUUUAUCUAUAAUCCCCUUGACUGGGACUGCUGCCUUUCUUUCAGAGAUGCCCUGCCAGAGAGGAAUCUAGAGAGGCAGUCUAGGCACAGCUGCUUUGCCGCACUGUGGUGGGCUCUGCCCAAUUUGAAUUUCCCUGUGGCUUUAUUUACACUGUGAGGAGAAAACUGCCUACUCAAGCCUCAGUCGUGGUGGACACCCCUUUUCCCACCAAGCUCAAGUGUCCCACGUUGACUUCAGACUGCUGUGCUGGCAGUGAGAAUUUCAAGCCAGUGGAUCUUAGCUUGCUGGGCUCUGUGGGGGUGGGAUUUGCUAAGCUUGACCACUUGGCUUUCUAUCUUCAGCCCCCUUUCCAGGGGAGUGAACGGUUCUGUCUCGCUGGUGUUCCAGGCACCACUGGGGUAUGAAGAAAAACUCCUGCAGCUAGCUCGGUGUUUGCCCAAACAGCCACCCAGCUUUGAGCUUGAAACCCAGGGCCCUGGUGGUGUAGGCACCCGAGGGAAUCUCCUGGUCUGCGGGUUGUGAAGACCGUGGGAAAAGCAUAGUAUCUGGGCCGGAGUGCACCGUUCCUCACGGCACAGUAUCUCAUGGCUUCCCUUGGCUAGGGGAGGGAGUUCCCUGGCUUCCCUUGGCUUCCCUGGGCUAGGGGAGGGAGUUCCCUAACGCUUUGUGCUUCCCAGGUGAGGCAACACCCCACCCUUCUUCUGCUCCCCAUCCAUGGGCUGUACCCACUGUCUAACCAGUCCCAAUGAGGUGAGCUGGGUACCUCAGUUGGAAAUGCAGAAAUCGCUUGCCUUCUGCGUUGAUCUCGCUGGGAGCUGCAGACCGGAGUUGUUCCUAUUUGGCCAUCUUGCCAGCCAGCCGAGAGAUCACUUUUUACUGUGAUAGGCAAUUUACUGCAGAGAGGAACUGUUCACACAGAGAUGAUUAGUGUCACAUGGUAUCGUGAGUAGAUACUUGCAACACGAGCUCAUCGCAAUAGCAACAGGAGGUGACCACAAAGUUAUUACAGUACUAGAGUUAAUUUUAUGCAGUUAUGAUUUAAUACUGUGUCUUUGCAUUUGUUUGUAUUUCUUUCAACUGCAAAUGGUACUAGGUACCGUCUAUAAGUGUUUGUGUGGGUAAGUGCUGAUAAAUUCUAACUUUUUAUAAUAGAUUUAUAUAUUUUUUAUGGUAGAAAUGAUGAGAUAGACUGGUAUCUACAUAUAUUUAAUGCAUUUUUGACGUACCUAACUUUUUAAUUUUUUUUAAGCCAUGCAGUUCAUCUGUGAAUUUUUUCAAAUUGUCACAAAUCUCCAAAAAUGUUAAAAAUAUAUUUAUUGAAAAUAAUCCAUGUAUAAGUGGACCCACACAGUUCAAAUCUGUGUUGUUCAAGUGUCACCUGUAUUUAGCUAUUCUCAAACAUACCUAUUUUUAUUUUAAGAAUUCCUUUCUAGUUUGAGUUGGAAAACUGAUGCUUGUAGUGUAAUCACUGUUGGUGACAGUGCAGUCAUACAAUGCAUGCAGAAUUUACUGGUUGGAAAGAUCAGUUUUUAGUUGAUUUUUUUUUUUUUGUAAAGCAAAACUUCUUAUCUCAGCUAUUAAAACUGUUCCACACAGUUGCCCACAGCCUGAAACCUAUCAAAUGUAGAAAAUAGGGACAUCACAGCAAAAUUUGGAGGGCAUAGUACAAAGAAAGGCGACAGCUGGUUUUCCCUUCCAAAGGUCAAAAUGACCUCAGGCUGGAGUUGCCUUUCUGCCCUAUUCUUGGUUUUAUUAAGUUUAUUUGGGAUCUCAUCUGCCAUGAGCCUGACUUUUGCUCAGGAAAGAGGCCUGAGAAUUUAAGGACUAUCUGUGAGUGGGCAGAGCUGAUGGAACUUUGUCUGCUAAUGUUUUCGGGUUUUCUUUGAAUUCUGUUCUUUCCAAUUCUUCACAUUGGCCUGAGUCUUCUUGUGAUUGCUGUGAAGAUAAUUAUCCAGGUCCUUUCUGAUCUUUCUUAUUGGAAAUUGGAACCAGCUCUCCUUGACUGUGACUCACUCGCUAAAUGUGUAAAGAAAUGAGCAGAUCUGAAACAAGAUUUUUUCAGCUGGAAAGAGUACACCAGAACUGUACACAGCCGUGAUGAGUUAUUGGCAUAGGUACUUAUUUAAAGAUUUUCUUCCACUGGAUGCUAUGCUACCUUGUGUGAACAGUUGCAUUUGUCUGUUUCACUACUUAGCAUAGUGUGUGGUGCACAGUAGGCAUGGAAUAAUGAUAAUAAAUGGAUUAAAUGGAUGCAUGAAGGUAUACAGGAGACUUUAAGCUAUCAUAGACGGUUCCAGGCAGGAGAAUAUGAAGAUGUAAUUUCAAGUACAGUUGUUAUUGUCAGUUUUGCUUUCCAUGGUUUCAGCUACCCAUAGUCAAUCACAAUAUAAAAAUAUUAAAUGGAACAUUCCAGAAAUAAUACAUAAGUUUUAAGUUGCUGAAUAAUGUGAUGAAAUCUUAGGCUGUCCCACUUCGUCUCGCCUGGGAUGUGAAUUGUCCUUUUGUCCUGCUUAUGCACGCUGUAUAUGUUACCCACCGUUUAGUCACUUAGCAGCCAUCUGGAUUCUCAGAUUGAAAACAGUGUGUAUAGGGUUCUGUUCUAUCAAAUGUUUCAGGCAUCCUCUGGGGGGUCUUGGAAUGUAUCCCCCAUGGAUAAGACUACUUGUAUAAUCUGGUAAAAUGGAUGAAUUAUUCAUAAAUAAUGUCAGAACCAGCUAUUUCAAACAAGAUUAGAUUCUCUAGCCUCAUAUCAUAUGCAAAGAUAAAUUAUAUAUGGAUUAAGGAUUUAAAUGUAAAAAAAGAAAUUAUAAGAGUUCCAUACCGAAAUGCAGGUUUAUAUUUAGUAAAAUAGUCAAGAAAGGUUUUUUUUUUUUUUUUUAAAAAGCAUAACAUCAAAGCCUAAAAUUACAAAGGAAAAGAGUGGAAAAUUCAUCCCCAUAAAUAUUAAAAACUAGUGUGUUGCAAAUAAAUUCAAAAGAUAAGGGAAAUACUGGGGAAAAUAUCUGAAACAUGACAGAGUGUCAUUAAUAUAUCAUGGGCUUUUACAUUUUAGAAAAAAAUGACGGAUAUCUCAGUAGUGAAAAGACUAUAGGAAAUGAAGAAGUAAUUCACAGAAAAAGGGUCAACUCCAUUUAUCAGAGAAAUGCAAAUGAAAUCAGGAUUGCAUUCUUCACCUGUCAAAUUGGCAGAUGCAACAGUAGCUGGUACUUACUGAGCCCUUUCUGUGUUAGCUACUAGUCUAAGAGUUACCACCACUCAUACAUAUGUAAAGGCUAAUGGAGUUGUAAAUGUAACUUUUGAGGACUUUAUUGUAUGUAUGCGUAUUAGUCUGUUCUCACACUGCUAAUAAAGACAUACCCGAGACUGGGUAAUUUAUAAAGGAAAGGAGGUUUAAUGGACUCACAGUUCCACAUGGCUGAGGAGACCUCACAAUCAUGGUAGAGGGUAAAGGGGUAGAAAGUCAUGUCUUACAUGGCAGCAGGCAAGAGAGCUUGUGUAGGGGAGCUCCCCUUUAUAAAACCAUCAGACCUGGUGAGACUUAUUCACAUGAGAACAGCAUAGGAAAGACCCGCCCCGAUGAUUCAGUUACCUCCCACCAGGUCCCUCCUACAACACGUGAGAAUUAUGGGAGCUACAAUUCAAGAUGAGAUUUGGGUGGGGACACAGCCAAAACAUAUCAGUAUGUUAUGGCCUUAUAUAAAAGUUGUUUUGUUUGUAAGCAGUUUGCCCUACAGUGUGUGGAAAGUGCAUCACUGUUGUGCUUUGGUUGUCCAACUCUUUGCUUACCCUGAUGCUUAGGUGUGAGUUGAUGGCAGUUUGGCAUUUGGAGAGCAGUUGCACUCCUAAAAUGAGUGAAAUGUUCUCUUCAAACUUGUGGCGUACCGUCUUUCUAUGGCUCUGUGACAGUUACAGAUCCGAAAAUUAGGUGUAAUGGCUUUUGAAGCAAAAAUCUCAUUCUGAAUAAAUCUCCCAUCUGUUCCAAUAACAUUUUAAUUGCGCAUCAAAUAUGGUACUUAUUUUUAAAAACUGCCUAGCAGGAUAGUUUGUGUUACUCUGCCUGUAUCCAUGACCGUGAUAAGAAAUGUAAGAAAAGGCCAGGCAUGGUGGCUCACACCUGUAAUCCCAGCACUUUGGGAGGCCAAGGUGGGUGGAUCACCUGAGGUCAGGAAUCCAGACAAGCCUGGCCAGCAUGGAGAAACCCUGUCUCUAUUAAAAAUAUAAAAAUGAGCCAGAUGCGGUGGUGCAUAUCUGUAAUCCCAGCUACUUGGGAGGCUGAGGCAGGAGAAUCGCUUGAACCCAGGAGGUGGAGGUUGGAGUGAGCGAAGAUCAUGCCACUGCACUCCAGCCUGGGUGACAGAGAGACAGACUGUCUCAAAAAAAAAAAAAAAAAAAAAAAUGUAAGAAAAGAGGUUG
rnacentral:lncRNA from 10 species